GUGAUCAAACCGUAUCAGCUGUCAAAGAAAUACCCAAACUUGAUUCACAUAGAACCGGCAUCACUCUGCCGACCAAACUGGAAAGAGCUAGCCUUCCUCUUUGGCGGCAGGAAAUGGAACUGGCAGGAAAAUAACUUUGUGGUUCACCUUUACAUGAGAUAUGGUCCAAAGGGAAACAGAGAAAGGAACCGAGAAAAUAUAAAGACGUGGAACACAACAGUUGCGAGCAUAAUGAGAAAAUUCAACUUCUUUAUAACAAGGAGCACAGCAAGUAUCUUCUUAGGCCUUCUUCAUGCUGAUAUACCCUGGUUCACGACUAUGUCUUCACUAGGCGCUCAUGAAAAUCAGGAAGUAUCUUUAAUACCAGCGGGGGGUAUAAGUACACCUCAUGAAGGAGAAGAAUGAAGGAGGAGUAUAUAUACUCCAGAUGUUUGUGUUCCCUGUAGUAUAGAAGGUAACAUCCAUAAUGUCCCAUGUUAUGUGUAUCAGAUCUAAAUAUAUCAUUCAAAGACUCGUCAUUGUUGUCAUUCACAAUCAAAGUUUGUUUUGUUUGUAUAUUUAGUUUUACGCCGCACUCAGCAAUAUUCCAGCUAUAUG